AAAGUGGAGCAAUCCAUGAGUAAAGUGGCGUACGGGUGAGUAACACGUGGAUCAUCUACCUCUUUGUGGGGAAUAACCAAGGGAAACCGUGGCUAAUACCGCAUAAGCUCGAGAGAGGAAAGUCGAAAGACGCAGAGAGAGGAGUCCGCGGCUGAUUAGCUAGUUGGUAGGGUAAAAGCCUACCAAGGCGAAGAUCGGUAGCCGGCCUGAGAGGGCACACGGCCACACUGGCACUGAAACACGGGCCAGACUCCUACGGGAGGCAGCAGUGGGGAAUCUUGCACAAUGGGGGAAACCCUGAUGCAGCGACGCCGCGUGAGCGAUGAAGCCCUUCGGGGUGUAAAGCUCUUUCGUCAGGGAAGAUAAUGACGGUACCUGGAGAAGCAGCUGCGGCUAACUACGUGCCAGCAGCCGCGGUAAUACGUAGGCAGCAAGCGUUGUUCGGAGUUACUGGGCGUAAAGGGUGUGUAGGCGGUUGUUUAAGUUUGGUGUGAAAUCUCCCGGCUCAACUGGGAGGGUGCGCCGAAUACUGAAUGACUUGGAGUGCGGGAGAGGAUAGUGGAAUUCCUGGUGUAGCGGUGAAAUGCGUAGAUAUCAGGAGGAACACCGGUGGUGUAGACGGCUAUCUGGACCGUAACUGACGCUGAGACACGAAAGCGUGGGUAGCAAACAGGAUUAGAUACCCUGGUAGUCCACGCCCUAAACGAUGCAUAUUUGGUGUGGGCAGUUCAUUCUGUCCGUGCCGGAGCUAACGCGUUAAAUAUGCCGCCUGGGGAGUACAGUCGCAAGGCUGAAACUCAAAGGAAUUGAC
rnacentral:rRNA from 1 species